CUCUGUUCUCCGCGCCGCACUGAGGGGCUUUCUUCGCAGCCGUGGGAAACUGGUGGGCGAGCGCGCGCCCCGCCGCCAUGUGGACGCUCGGCCAGGGAAAGCCCAGUGAACCAGAAAAGGAGAAUUUUUCUGCAGUGCUGGAGUGUGAAAACGGCUACAGGAGGAGGAAAUGCCAGCUUCCACCCAGUUCUUCCUCCAUCACCCUCAUGAACUUCUUGGCCAGGCUCUGCUCACCAACCCCCACCCGCACCCCCUACCUCCAACCUAGAGCACUUGAGAUGACUAACUGCAGCGUGGAUGUCAAGGCAGGCCUGGAGCUCAGGAGGAGGGUACAGAGAGAAACCUGCUUUACCACUGGUGAACUUGACAUCAUGGUCUUGGACACGCACUGUGGAAAGAUGGGCUUGUACAUUCAAAAUGCAGGAAGCAGUGAGCUCCAGGAGAUGGUGAAGCUCCGGGAGUAGUGAAGAACAGGGAAGCCUGGCAUGCUGCAGUCCAUGGGGUCACACAGAGGUGGAAGGACUGAGUGACUGAACAAUAGCAACAAAGCAGUGAGCUCAAGGUCUGACCCAUAGCCCUUGCAUUCUGCUGAUGGGAAUGAGGGAAGACACCCAGAUGCACAGCCUCUGUAGCUGGAGACCAGACAGUGUUUCAUAGCAUCCUUCAUGACGGAGACCUUGAGGGUGGUUAUGUCCAAGGGCUGGUGAGUUGUCCGAGGAUGAGCCUCAAGGCCCAUGGCAGCAAGGAAAGCACUUCCUAUACAGCCUCCAAGUCUUCAGCAUGUUUGCAGGCACUUGGAUGGAGCUGUAGGUGGAAGACUCCUCAAGUUUGCAGACCAUCAAAUCUGAGAAGAGUAGGAAAUGCACUGUGUGAUAAAAGCUAACAGGUUUGCUCAGGCUGGGUGAAUAGGGCCCAUUUCUGAGAUGAGUCUGAAGACGGUUCAGUGUCACACUCUGCUUAUGGGGUCCAAGACAUCACCUGCCUCAGCAUGUGUGGGGAAAAAAAAAAACACGGAAGGAUCUGGGGUAUUCAGCAUAUUGCCAAUCAACUGUGUGGUUAAUCUGAACAAAACAGAGAUGUGAUCUUCAGCUACAUUGAAGAAGUUCUUGUUUUCCAAGAUUUCUUUGUCCUGUGAAUCCCAUUAAGGGAUUUCUUUUGGGUCCACUGACCACUCAAAUCAAAAACUUCUGGGGCUUGUUAAAAAUUCAGAUUUGGGGGCCCACCUAGGUUAUUCAUUCAGGCUGUAUAGGGAGGAAGCCCCAGAAGAUGUAUUUUCAACCACCUCCCAAGUGAUUUUUUGAGAACAUUUUCAACCCUGCCUACCUCUUUAGCUAAUGCUAUGCCCUCUUGCCAGGACUGUUUUACUGCUGAGCAAAACAAGAGGACCCCCUGCCCAGCCAAGCUUCCCUCUAGGCUAGAAAUUCUACUAGUGGAACUUGGUCCUUUGGGUUAGAAUCCCACCCC
rnacentral:lncRNA from 1 species